rnacentral:rRNA from 1 species
GACGAACGCUGGCGGCGUGCCUAAUACAUGCAAGUUGAGCGCUGAAGGUUGGUACUUGUACCGACUGGAUGAGCAGCGAACGGGUGAGUAACGCGUGGGGAAUCUGCCUUUGAGCGGGGGACAACAUUUGGAAACGAAUGCUAAUACCGCAUAAAAACUUUAAACACAAGUUUUAAGUUUGAAAGAUGCAAUUGCAUCACUUAAAGAUGAUCCCGCGUUGUAUUAGCUAGUUGGUGAGGUAAAGGCUCACCAAGGCGAUGAUACAUAGCCGACCUGAGAGGGUGAUCGGCCACAUUGGGACUGAGACACGGCCCAAACUCCUACGGGAGGCAGCAGUAGGGAAUCUUCGGCAAUGGACGAAAGUCUGACCGAGCAACGCCGCGUGAGUGAAGAAGGUUGUCGGAUCGUAAAACUCUGUUGGUAGAGAAGAACGUUGGUGAGAGUGGAAAGCUCAUCAAGUGACGGUAACUACCCAGAGAGGGACGGCUAACUACGUG